rnacentral:tRNA from 4 species
GCCGGCGUGGCGGAAUGGCAGACGCGAACGACUCAAAAUCGUUUGGGAAACCGUGGAGGUUCGAGUCCUCUCGCCGGUACCA